rnacentral:rRNA from 1 species
ACGGGGGGAGCAAGCGUUGUUCGGAUUUACUGGGCGUAAAGGGCGCGUAGGCGGCCACCGCAAGUCGACUGUGAAAUCUCCGGGCUUAACUCGGAAAGGUCAGCCGAUACUGCGGGGCUAGAGUGCAGAAGGGGCAACUGGAAUUCUCGGUGUAGCGGUGAAAUGCGCAGAUAUCAGGAGGAACACCGGUGGCGAAGGCGGGUCUCUGGGCAGUAACUGACGCUGAGGAGCGAAAGCGUGGGGAGCGAACAGGA